rnacentral:lncRNA from 10 species
CGGAGCUGCCACAACCCAUCUUCCCACAACUCGGAACUUGGAAAAAGGAACCCAGGACACGACUUUGCUUUUCUUUUGGACCUAGUUGCAACUUUUAAAAGCCUUUCCACUGCACAGUGAAAGAAAACCACAAACUCCUUGUUUAAUAAGUGGGAUCACGUGCUUUUAACACGAGGAAAAGGUCAAUCUGAAGCAACUGAUAUGGAACUGCCAGAGUAGGAGUUGAAAAUCUUCCUAAACUGCUGGAGGAUACACCUCUGAUAGCUUGAGACAAAUAUCCUCUUGAUCAUUGUUUCACCAUAUUUGUCUUUGCUCAUGGAGAACCAUUUUGAUCCGUGGUUUAGCCUCCCAGGUGAUUGAACAAUACCGGUGAUCUGAGGCAGACCCUCUGUGACGGAUAACAGGAGUCCAUUCUCAAUUUUCUGUGCAAAUUGGGGAAGGCUGUUGAUAAUCGGUGGAUGCUAUAGUGCCCAUGGAAAGACUCUAGUCUGAAGAUACCAGUCUCUCCCUCCCAAGAUCACCUCCCCUGACCAACCUUCUGCACUCCUGACAGAUACAAGGGAGCAAGCAAGUUGCACCCAACCUAAUAGUAAAUUGCAGGGACAUUUCCAUUCUAAGGAAGGAAUUUUUGUGUGUGUUGCAACUCAGCUUCUGCUCUGGCAUUUUGCUGUGCAUUUAUAUUGCCAAUCAUGUUGGAGAGUCCAUGUGGUGAUUUCUGAAAACGAGAUGUGAGAAAGAAGAGGAUAAUUUAAGUCUAGACCUACAGAUUGUGCUGAUAAAGUGAUGAAGAACUACAAUCUUCUUAGUCAUU